UUUCUUCGGAGAGUUUGAUCCUGGCUCAGGAUGAACGCUGGCGGCGUGCCUAAUACAUGCAAGUCGAGCGAACUGAUUAGAAGCUUGCUUCUAUGACGUUAGCGGCGGACGGGUGAGUAACACGUGGGCAACCUGCCUGUAAGACUGGGAUAACUUCGGGAAACCGAAGCUAAUACCGGAUAGGAUCUUCUCCUUCAUGGGAGAU
rnacentral:rRNA from 1 species